rnacentral:rRNA from 1 species
GACGAACCGUGCGAACGUUAUUCGGAUCACUGGGCUUAAAGCGCGUGUAGGCGGAUGGGGACGCGGUUGCUGAAAUCCCCCCGGCUCCAACCGGGGGAACGGGCGCCGAAACGCCUCGUCUGGAGGGACGUAGGGGGACCUGGAACUUCCGGUGGAGCGGUGAAAUGCGUUGAGAUCGGAAGGAACGGCCCGUGGCGAAAGCGAGGUCUGGACG